AACACAUGCAAGUCGAGCGGGAAGUUCCCUUCGGGGAGCGAGUACAGCGGCGAACGGGUGAGUAACACGUAGGUAACCUACCCUGGAGUCCGGGAUAACCUGCCGAAAGGCGGGCUAAUACCGGAUAAGACCACGGGGGCUGCGGCCCCAGAGGUAAAAGGUGGCCUCUGCUUGCAAGCUACCACUCCGGGAUGGGCCUGCGCGCCAUUAGCUAGUUGGUGGGGUAACGGCCCACCAAGGCUGAGAUGGCUAGCUGGUCUGAGAGGAUGGCCAGCCACACUGGGACUGAGACACGGCCCAGACUCCUACGGGAGGCAGCAGUGGGGAAUAUUGCGCAAUGGGCGAAAGCCUGACGCAGCGACGCCGCGUGGGUGAUGAAGGCCUUCGGGUCGUAAAGCCCUGUCAAGAGGGACGAAACCUCGCCGACCCAACACGUCGGCGACCUGACGGUACCUCUGAAGGAAGCACCGGCUAACUCCGUGCCAGCAGCCGCGGUAA
rnacentral:rRNA from 1 species